CUGCACAAAUCACAUUUGUACUAAUCAAUUAACACAUCUGCAAUAGAUAAGUCUUCUACAAUAACUUAAAUUUGUAGAAAAGAACUAGCCAAUGUGAGGCUUAAUUGUAACAGAGACAGAAAAUAAUGUAUAGAAUUUCACACUAAAUGAAACAUAAGUAUUUGCUUGAUGAUUCAUGUGGCCGUCCUCAUUGCACCGUUAAUCUUCAUGCAUCCAUGAAUAUAUGAAGCACUUUCCGUAACCAUUAUACUGAAAUAAUAAAAUAACAUGAUCUUGUGAGAAACUUAUAUUUGAAUUAUCAAAAUAUAUACCAAUUUAAAUACAUGUACAAUUAGUUACAACAAUAACAAUAUACCCAUUAUUAUUCCACACCAUGGGGUGGGGUUUGAUAAAGGUAGUGUCUACGCAGACCUUACCCUACCUAGCGAGGAAAGAGAGGUUGUUUCCAAUAGACAUAGUAAUGACUUUUACUAUAACCGAGAAUUCCCCGAUGGCCAGUCGUGCAAGGUUCGAAACUCAGUAACGGAAAAAGCAUAAUAAUGACUAUUGCAAUGCAAGAAUUAUAAUGAACAUAUUUUACCCAGGCUACUUAGCUGAAGGACUUAGUGUUGGCAGUUUGUUUAUGAUAUGUUCUUUAACACACUUCUUCUUCUUAUUUUUAACACACUUUUUAUACUCAUCCCGUUCAACCUCCCAUUUGACACCCUUGAGGGAUGGGAUAUCAGUUGAUACCUAGUAAUUGAUUGUGUACAGGGCCCUAUCUUGCAGUAUCCUACAUGUACAGUUAGUAAUUAAAAAAUUUCAAUAAAUUAUGGAAUGAGAAAAUACAUAGCAAUAAAUCAAGUGAAAAACUCUAAACUUUCCAAUACAGAAGACAAAAGAAAAGGCAUUUAAAUAAACAUCAUAAACUUAAGGAGAUGAAAGAAAGAAGUAAAGCUCACAUUUCUCUUGCAAUUGAAAUUUCUCAGAGGCACAUUUCUCUUGAGCACCCUAUAAAUCAAAAACAAAUAAUUGAAGCGAAAAUCCAAGUUAAUUAGAUGUAGGGUACAAAACCAAUCAGAUCUUCAACAUCGCAUUCACCACUUAUAAAAAAUAAGGCAUAAUGUUUAUCAAUUGUUGGAAUAACUCGUAAAAUUAAACUUAAAAACCCAAGUCCAAGUAAGUGUAAGGAGAUUCAAAAACCCUAAAAUAUAAAGACAUGAACUUACUUGGGAAGAGACAAACCAAUAAGUUAAUUUUUUGGUCCGUCAAUGAGUAGAUACCUUCUUACUCCUCUUUGUCUUUCUCACAUAAUUAAAUUAACGCCUACUACUGUGGAUGAAAGAAAUAAGAAAACGUGGGAGAGUGGUGGCUGAGGAAGAGGAAAAGUUU
rnacentral:lncRNA from 1 species